AGUUGACAUGAAAUUUGGCUUCAUCUACUAAUUAUCAAUUUACACUUUCUUUCGGCGGUAUGAAUACCGAACUUACUAGUGACAGAACGUAUGAAGAGGUAAAGGUUGGACGCUACACUCGCGUAUAAAACGCAGUACGUGGCCCUAACUCAGAAGCUCAAAGAUGAAACUUUAUACAAACUAUUAAACAUGGCGCUGAGUUUACAAUCGUGAGUCAGAGCGGGGAGAUGUGUAUAUAAAUAAGGGGUGUGUUUCA